rnacentral:rRNA from 1 species
GACGAACGCUGGCGGCGUGCUUAACACAUGCAAGUCGAACGGAAAGGCCCCUUUGGGGGUACUCGAGUGGCGAACGGGUGAGUAACACGUGAGUAACCUGCCCUUGACUUCGGGAUAACUUCAGGAAACUGGGGCUAAUACCGGAUAGGAAUCCUUGCUGCAUGGUGGGGGUUGGAAAGCUUCGGCGGUUUUGGAUGGACUCGCAGCUUAUCAGCUUGUUGGUGGGGUAGUGGCUUACCAAGGCUUUGACGGGUAGCCGGCCUGAGAGGGCGACCGGCCACAUUGGGACUGAGAUACGGCCCAGACUCCUACGGGAGGCAGCAGUGGGGAAUAUUGCACAAUGGGCGGAAGCCUGAUGCAGCAACGCCGCGUGCGGGAUGACGGCCUUCGGGUUGUAAACCGCUUUCAGCAGGGGCGAAGCUUGUGGUGACGGUACCUGCAGAAGAAGCACCGGCUAACUACGU